rnacentral:rRNA from 1 species
AUACGGAGGGUGCAAGCGUUAUUCGGAAUCACUGGGCGUAAAGGACGCGUAGGCGGGUUGGCAAGUCAGAUGUGAAAUCCUACAGCUUAACUGUAGAACUGCAUUUGAAACUGCUAACCUAGAGUAUGGGAGGGGGAGAUGGAAUUAGUGGUGUAGCGGUAAAAUCCGUAGAUAUCACUAGGAAUACCGAAAGCGAAGGCGAUCUCCUGGAACAUAACUGACGCUAAGGCGUGAAAGCGUGGGGAGCAAACAGGAUUAGAAGCCCUAGUAGUCC